UCUGAAGACAAUGAUAACUGAGCCUGGACUCAUACUUAUCUUCCCAUCAGCUUGAACAGUGCUUAGAAAUACAAGGAGAACUUGUUGAGAGAAGCAACUGAAAACAAUGACGUCAAGCUCUUCUAAUCCUGGGAGUGGCUGUGUAAGUGUGGCCAAUUCCUGCCCACAGUUCGACUUCACAUUUGGAUUCCCCCCAAAAGAAAUGUGAACGUAUAGCAGUCUUGGCAAGUUCUACUUGGCAUUGAACAGUGUCUCUCCAAGGGAUCAUCACUGGUGGAGUGCUAGCUGUGUGUACUCUUGGGAGAGCAUUGUUCCUGAAAGGAGUCUAGCUCUAGCACACCAUGACCUUGAAGAUGCUUGGGUGCAGCCUGCCUUCCAAUCUGCUUGAAUUCCAAAUGUAUUCUUGCUGUAUUUUGCUUAGCAAUUUAUUGCCUUCUCAUCUCCUGAGUAACAACAGAGAAGUCUAUAAAUAAACCCAAUAAUGAGGAGUGACUC